AGGUGGGUUUGAAACAAAGACUAGUACAGUCAGGAACCGAAUAUCAUUUUUUUCUGAGAGUGAGAGCAUGCCCAUGAACGGUGGUGGUCUGAUGCCAUUUUAUUUAUAUUUUGAGCUAUACAACCCUGUAUUGCUUGGCAUAGCACAACGUAAAUGAUUUGAACACACUUUUGGAAGGCCAACCAGAAAUAUCGAGCUUACGUUUAUUCUAUUCAACGCUGAAAUUGGAUUGGGAUCUUGAAGUGAUAUACCGCCGAGAUCUAAACGGGAUCGUCCGCGCUACGUGUGCCGAGAGUUGCGGCGAACAUCAAUGUGGAAAUUCGCUGGUGGCUAGCUUUAGACUAUUUGUAUUAUUACGCCCAGAUCUAUCUGCUGAAAAAGUGAAAGAUGGUGACUUUUUUUUCACGGCUGAAGCAUUAAUACAACUUACAAGAAAGUCUUAACUUAGAUUAUUCAUAGCAUAUGAUUGUUUAUUUUUAGACUGGAGCCCCCCCCCCCCCAAUAAUUGAAUCCACUCAUUUUUUGAUACAUACAGGAUGCCAGAUGACACAUGCAUUUUUUUUACAUGUCAUGUCUCUAACUGUUAAAGUCUAAGACCCACUCACUCUAGAAAAAUGAGUGUUGGUGACAUUGGCAUGCACUGUAUUUGCCAGGCAGAGGAAGCACUCGUGUGAUUUAGACAGAUGGGGGAGGUCGAAUUGAACAAAAUUUGUAGAAUUAAUUUUUGUCCUAGAUCUUCUGGGCCUUACCUUGCUUUGGCUUUGAACUUCCUCGUGAACUGAAACUGAAUUCUGAAAGUAGACUUUGAAUUUUGUAAUUUUCUAUCUUGUGAAUAGUAAUAUAGUUACCAUUUCUUAAAACACAAUGACGGUGUCAAUACGAGGUGUGCAUCUGUUACGAUGGUUAGUUUUGAUUGGGAUGUUCGCUCUGAUGAUAUUGUGGUACUUCCAACGCAACAAGAACCUUCAGCUCGAUUACAUGAAAUCUUUGCAGGAACCGAGCCUUAAGCUGCAGAAUGGAGAGUUUGUUCUCAAUGGGGAGGAGGUCACUAUCCUCUCAGGGAGCAUGCAUUACUUCCGGGUCGUGCCAGAGUACUGGGAGGAUCGCCUCCGAAAGAUGAAGAGUGGUGGACUCAACACUGUUACCACGUAUGUCCCUUGGAAUCUACAUGAACAAGUCAGAGGGGAUUUCGAUUUCUCAGGCAUUCUGAAUGUUGUAGAGUUCUUGAAGAUAGCCCAAAAGGUUGGCCUAUAUGUUAUUUUUAGACCAGGUCCUUACAUUUGUGCUGAAUGGGAACUUGGUGGUCUGCCAAGCUGGUUAUUGGCAGAUGAUGAAAUGAAAGUAAGGACGACCUAUCCCCUGUUUACCGAAGCAGUCACCAAGUACUUUGAUCACCUCAUUCCAAAGGUUGUCCCACUUCAAUACAACAGGGGUGGACCUAUUAUAGCAUUUCAGGUGGAGAAUGAAUAUGGGUCCUAUGGUGACAGCGCGGCAUAUAUGGAGUUUGUUAAAGAGGCUAUGGUGACGAAAGGUGUGACAGAAUUACUAGUUACAUCCGAUAACUCAAAGAAGGCUAUGAAAAAGGGACGAUUGCCAGGUGUUCUGAUGACAGCAAACUUUCAGGACAACGUGGAAAGGCAUUUUGGAGACUUGAAGGCUUUACAGGGUGACAAUCUCCCACUGAUGACCAUGGAGUUCUGGUCGGGCUGGUUUGACCAUUGGGGUGAGAGGCAUCACAUCUACACAGCCGAUGGCAUUGCCGAGCUGACCAAGAGUAUCCUGGUCAAGGGAGCGUCCAUUAACUUCUACAUGUACCACGGCGGGACGAACUUUGGGUUUAUGAACGGAGGCAACAUAGAUAAGGGCAUCUACAAACCCACCAUAACUAGCUAUGAUUAUGAUGCGCCUCUCUCCGAGUCUGGCGAGCCUACAGAGAAAUUUUUCAAGAUCAAAGAAGUCAUCCAGAAGCACACUCCUACGGGAAGAGUUCCCAGUACCUUGCCAGAGCUUCCUGUUGCUAUAGGUAAAGUGGCAUACUCGGAAGUCAAAGUUCAAGAAACCAUGUCACUGGCUGCAUUGCUAGAGAUCAGUGGGAAACCCAUUUAUAAUGAUGACAUACUUGCCAUGGAGAAGCUUCCAAUCAACAACGGGGGUGGACAGAGUUUUGGAUUCCUGCUUUACAGGAGCAGAGUUAAUACCAAACCGACCAAACUGACCUUGUCAAGAUCUCCAAGAGAUAGAGCUCAGGUUUUCUUGAAUGGAGAUGAGGUCGGCGUUUUGAUGAGGAAGACGGAAGAGGAGGAUCGGAGUCUUGAGCUCACUAAUGGAAAAGAUGCCAACAAUGUACUUGACAUUCUGGUUGAGAAUCUUGGGAGAGUCAACUAUGAUAAGGAUAUCCAGACCGAGAAAAAAGGUCUGUUAGGGGAUGUAAUGAUCAAUGACAAAAAGCAAGUAAAAUGGGAGAUGUAUCCGUUGGAGUUUACAAAACACUUCAUGGAAGCUGUUUCAACUUCGAAGAAAUGGAGUGCAUUCGAAGGGCGUGAGAAGCAGCCAGCCCUCUAUAGAGCAACGUUAGAAAUUCAGGAUAGCAAACCCAAAGACACUUUUGUAAAUAUGAAGGGUUGGGAGAAGGGAGUCAUUUUCAUCAACGGUUUCAAUCUUGGUCGUUACUGGAACGUUGGCCCUCAGAAGAAUUAUUAUCUACCAGGACCAUUGCUAAGACAGGGAAAGAAUGAGAUCAUCAUGUUUGAGCUUCAUAAAGCAGACGGGACGAUACGCUUUGAUGAUAAGGCAGACUUAGGUGAAGAACAACAGAUAAACAAUGAGGAUGAUAUAGAACCUAUGCUCUAGCCCCUAAAUUACAAGGGGCCUGUCUUACAAAAAGUUGCAAUUGAUCCGAUCAAUCGCAAUUACGGAAAGCCAGCAAAGUCAAUAUAUAAAAUACAUAUUUGUUCAAAAAAAAUUAUAGAUAUGAAUGUAUAUCCAUAAAUUCAUUGAUUUCUUGACAAUUUGGUGUGUUCUCCUUUGUUUACAAAGGACUUUUUGCGAAUUUCCUGUGGACAAAAUUAUGAAACUGAUGGAUUUCCAUAGAGUUAAGAUUGAUUGGAUCAAUCGUAACUCUUUGUAAGAUAGGGCCCUGAUUAAUUCCAACUCUAUGGCUGUGUGUGGGCGGCCACCUCGAAAGCAACAAUACGUCACCAGGCAAGAUCCUCUGUAAAUAGUCAUAAUAGUAGUUUGGUCUUCAGAGAGUAAAAGUGAAAUAAAUUAGCCGAUCAAAAGAGUCAUUCUUCUUUUUUCUGCUGUCAAACUUUGAAGUUCAAAUAAAGUUAGAUUAAAAAAAAUUAGAUAAAAGUUUAUCUGACACCAUUUUUUUUCUUCCGGACUGCUUGGAAAUUUUUGUGAUCAGAGAUUUGUACGGUAUGCUUAUCUCCUGCAUCAGCAAAUCCACAUUGUUUUCUUGUUAUUCUUUAAAGAUCUCACUGAAUAACUUUUACAUUCACUCAAGCAGUUUUGAGGAUUGUUUUUGAUUAAUUUUGACAAGUUAUUUGUCAUUUUAAAUCUUUGGAUGUACUUUUUAAAUUCUAAUAAAAAAUUUCUGAAAUUAAUCAUUUUGGACGUCCUAUUGUCGGUUGUGGGGUGCCAGGACACAUUUUAUUGACCUAUGAUGUAUAUUUUGUGGUACCAAUUAAUGCGCUCAAGGUCUACUGUUUUCUGCAGUAGUAAUGACUUGGACCUUUGUCAAGUUGCCUUUAAAAACUUCAUUCAUUUUCGUCAUCAUCAAAUGAAGAGGUUUCAAACUCAAAAUGAAGUCAAUCUCCGGCCAUAGGCCCAUGUACAUUAGCAUAGUCAACGGUCCCACGACAUUUGCUCCGGCGACAGUCGCUCUGAUGAAAAAUCUGCACGCUAAGCCAAACAUAAAAACCUAACCUCCAAAACUAAUUAAACCCUAAUCCUUAUCUUCACACUAUUCUGAAUCAAAACUAUAUUACAAUCCUCCACACUAACCCUUUUUUCGACUAGUCCAACCUGUUCAGGUCGGACCAGUAGUUUUUCCAUUUUUAAAUGGUCCAAACCUAAAAUAUACUGGUCCCCAAAAUGUAAAGAAAAGCAAUAAAACAAGACUUUAGUUUAUUUUGCUGUCUUUUAUUGCUCUCAUUGUCCCUCCCCCCCAAAAAAAAAAAAAAUUUUUAAUGAAUAAGUAAAACGAAAUAAAAGUUUUAGAAAAUAUAAAUAGGUAAACAAAUAAAUAAAUAGGUAGAUAUUAAAUAAAAAUAAAAUGAAUGAAUGAAAAUGUAAUAAAAUAAAUAAGUGGGGAUAAAAAUGAAGAAUGAGAAGAAAACAAGUACUAAGUACGUUGCAAUAGGAUCUAGUCUUGAAAUGAGAAUAGGCAGUUAGACGGUACAUGUAAGUGGUUGUAUUAUACGUGGCCAUAUAAUGGUACAUUUAGGAUAUAAUUAUGUGUGUGAUGGUAUAAGUAUAAAACAUUCCCUUCCUAUCACCAUUCUUUUUUGUUGUUCUGUGCACAAUGCAGCUUAAAAAAAAAAAAAGAAUUAGAUCAGGGCCCCGUCUUGCAAAGAGUUAUGAUUGAUCCGAUCAAUCUUAACUAUGGAUGGCCAGCAACGUCAACAUCUAUUAUGCAUGUUUGUUCAAAGUGUUUUCUAGCUGUGAUCUAUAUUCAUGCAUUCAUUGUUUUCUUGAAAAUUCACUGCGCUUCUCUUUGCAUACAGAGGACAUUGUGCAAGUUUUUUUUUGGAAAAAAAUUAUGACACGGAUGGAUUUCCAUAGUUAUGAUUGAUCAGAUCAGUCGUAGCUCUGGAUCAAUCGUAACUCUUUGUAAGACGGGGGCCUGAAGUGCUGCAUAGUUGUUUUUUUCUUUGGAAAGGGGGGAGGGGGAUUAUUAAGGGAACCUUCAACUCACUGUAAUCUGUGUUUGUUUUAUGGAGGUAUUCAUAAAUUUUCCAAUUGGGUAUACCAUGAGUACAUGAACAAUUGGUAAAAAAAUAUAUAUAUUUUCACCCACCUUUACGAAAGCCACAAGUUACAUGUAUAUUAUGUUGUAAUGGUGCAGUCACGUUUCCCCUCCAAGUCGAAAACGACCGUUUUAUGUAUUCGAACCACCUAUAUGUAGCUGGUGCAAAAAUGUUAAAACAGCCGUUUUCGACUUGCCUUUCGGCCACCGUAGGAGAAAUGUCAAUUUUGAUGCACAUUUUCUGCAGCUGUGCCACUUUUCAGACAAAAAGUAGUCUGUAAUUAUCAUCUCAUGUGGCAACCCUGACUUAGAGCAAAAUUUAUAAAUGUGAUUGUGUGAAUUUGGGUAAUAAGACUGUUUUUGUAUAAAGCACACUGGUACUUUUCUGGUCGUUUUGUCGACUGUGUUUGUAUAUGUGUGUUUGUUUACCUUUUCAUACUGAAUAAAAACAUAAUUUAUUUGAUGAUCUUUAAUAAAAGAAAUAGCUUUCAAUAA